rnacentral:rRNA from 1 species
UACGGAGGGAGCUAGCGUUGUUCGGAAUUACUGGGCGUAAAGCGCACGUAGGCGGCUUUGUAAGUUAGAGGUGAAAGCCCGGGGCUCAACCCCGGAAUUGCCUUUAAGACUGCAUCGCUUGAAUCCGGGAGAGGUGAGUGGAAUUCCGAGUGUAGAGGUGAAAUUCGUAGAUAUUCGGAAGAACACCAGAGGCGAAGGCGACGACCUGGAAGGUCACUGACACUGAGCAGCGAAAGCGUGGGGAGCAAACAGG